rnacentral:lncRNA from 1 species
ACGAAGUUGACACUCAAAACCUUCCUUACAUUAGGGCCAUUGUGAAGGAGACAUUCCGAAUGCACCCACCACUCCCAGUGGUCAAAAGAAAGUGCACAGAAGAGUGUGAGAUUAAUGGGUAUGUGAUCCCAGAGGGAGCAUUGGUUCUUUUCAAUGUUUGGCAAGUAGGAAGGGACCCCAAAUACUGGGACAGACCAUCAGAAUUCCGUCCCGAGAGGUUCUUAGAAACUGGUGCUGAAGGGGAAGCAGGGCCUCUUGAUCUUAGGGGCCAGCAUUUCCAACUCCUCCCAUUUGGGUCUGGGAGGAGAAUGUGCCCUGGUGUCAAUUUGGCUACUUCAGGAAUGGCAACACUUCUUGCAUCUCUUAUCCAAUGCUUUGACCUGCAAGUGCUGGGCCCUCAAGGACAAAUAUUGAAAGGUGAUGAUGCCAAAGUUAGCAUGGAAGAGAGAGCUGGCCUCACAGUUCCAAGGGCACAUAGUCUCGUUUGUGUUCCACUUGCAAGGAUCGGCGUUGCAUCUAAACUCCUUUCUUAAUUAAG